AACGAACGCUGGCGGCAUGCCUAACACAUGCAAGUCGAACGAGACCUUCGGGUCUAGUGGCGCACGGGUGCGUAACGCGUGGGAAUCUGCCCUUGGGUUUGGAAUAACAGUGAGAAAUUACUGCUAAUACCGGAUGAUGUCUUCGGACCAAAGAUUUAUCGCCCAGGGAUGAGCCCGCGUAGGAUUAGCUAGUUGGUGGGGUAAUGGCCUACCAAGGCGACGAUCCUUAGCUGGUCUGAGAGGAUGAUCAGCCACACUGGGACUGAGACACGGCCCAGACUCCUACGGGAGGCAGCAGUGGGGAAUAUUGGACAAUGGGCGCAAGCCUGAUCCAGCAAUGCCGCGUGAGUGAUGAAGGCCUUAGGGUUGUAAAGCUCUUUUACCCGGGAUGAUAAUGACAGUACCGGGAGAAUAAGCUCCGGCUAACUCCGUG
rnacentral:rRNA from 1 species